UUCAGAUGUCAGGCGCUCACCUUCAAGCCAAAAGCAGGACCCGGGAAACCUCACCUGCGAUGUGUGCUCAUGGAAAGUUCUCACCCACGUAGCCGAUUUAAAUCCUGUGGCUUUUGCCAGAGCAGAGUCUCAUCCCAACCCCUGGCUUCACCGCCACAGAGUUGUGCUUCCUGGAUCAGGUCGAUUCUUGGCAACUGGACCCAGGGAAGCACUACCGGGUCACCUUGUUCAUCUCCUGGAGACUGCUUUCACUGUGCCCUGAAAGUGGCUGCAUUCCUGGGGACACCAGCCGUGGGAGCCGGCACAUCUUCGCUGCCUGCACCUGUCGCUGCCGUGGAGGAUGUGAGGAGGGGCCGCGCAGACUGCAGGGAGUUCGGCCCAAAUCGCCAUCAUGACCGCCACAGAGUUUGGGCACAUCAGAGAAACCUUCGUGGACAACCAGGGAAGUCCCUUUAAGCCCUGGAAUAGUCUGGAUGAAAACAGUCAAAGCUUAUCAGGAAGCCUACAGAGCAUUCUCCAAGAGAAGGCUUCCUCCCUUCUGCUAGCACCCCAGCCCCCCCUUCUCCUCUCUCCUCUCCCUGGGCCUUUCCUUCUCCUCCUUUCUGAUAUCCGCUCCUUCCCUUCCAGCCUUUCUCUCAAAGUCCCUCUGCUUUUCUCACUUCCUUGUGUCCCUCCUUUCUCUUAUCCUCUAUCAUUUUCACUGUCCCUUAGACUUCAUCUCAUUUUCUUCCUUCCACCUCCACCCCUCUCCUGGGAAAUUUUUUCUCCUCCUAGAAUUAGUAAGACUGAAAGAUAGAUUUAAAUAUCUCUAGAAGAGACAGGAGACCUCUGUUGAAGAGGAGAGUAAGACACCUUUCUUCAAGAAUUGUAGAAGAUUGUGAGAAGAUGGUAAGCUAGGAAGCCCCAGGAAUUGGGUCUCUUUACAUAAACAACUAUGGAAAUGGUAAAGACUGUCUGAAUCAACUAUUCUGGAAUUCUUGAGUCCAGGGAAAUACUUGCUAUGUCCAGGGAAGAGCUGGAAGAAACCAGCUACCAUCCCCCCACUGCCUUCUCCCCCAGCCACGUGGCAAGCGGCUGUGGAGCCUGCAGCCCCAGCUCCUGGUGCAGCUUGUUGGUGCCAGGGUGGCCAAGGAGGACUUUGUCCUCCAAAAAUUCAGGGUUGUGUGUUUUGAUUACUGAUUGUUGAAGGGCUAACAAGGAAGGUAGACUUUUUUUUUUUUAAGCCCCACAAACUGAAGUGGAUUCCUGCCAUGGGGAGUUAAAGAGAUGGUACUUUUUUUUCUCUCCCUUUCCCCAUUUGGGAGCCAGACAUUCUACGGGAAUUUUUGUCAAGCCACUGGCUGAAUGCAGAGUGGGAAAUUCCUGCAUAAAUUCCCUUAUCAUGGUGAGGAAAUUCCCACUCCGCAUUCAGCCAGUGACCUGACAAAAAAUGAUAAGGGGAAUUUAUGAAAAAUUCACAACUAACAUCAUACUCGGUGAUGAAAGACUGA